AACGCGAAGAACCUUACCUGGUCUUGACAUCCUUCGAACCUGCCAGAGAUGGCGGGGUGCCCGCAAGGGAACGGAGAGACAGGUGCUGCAUGGCUGUCGUCAGCUCGUGUCGUGAGAUGUUGGGUUAAGUCCCGCAACGAGCGCAACCCUUAUCCUAUGUUGCCAGCGCGUAAUGGCGGGGACUCGUAGGAGACUGCCGGGGUCAACUCGGAGGAAGGUGGGGUCGAAGUCAAGUCAUCAUGCCCCUUACGUCCAGGGCUGCACACAUGCUACAAUGGCCGGUACAACGGGCUGCUAUUCCGCGAGGAGGAGCCAAUCCCUAAAGCCGGUCUCAGUUCGGAUUGGAGUCUGCAACUCGACUCCAUGAAGUCGGAGUCGCUAGUAAUCCCGGAUCAGCAACGCCGGGGUGAAUACGUUCCCGGGCCUUGUACACACCGGUACUA
rnacentral:rRNA from 1 species